rnacentral:rRNA from 1 species
GAUGAACGCUGGCGGCGUGCCUAAUACAUGCAAGUCGAGCGAACGGACGAGAAGCUUGCUUCUCUGAUGUUAGCGGCGGACGGGUGAGUAACACGUGGAUAACCUACCUAUAAGACUGGGAUAACUUCGGGAAACCGGAGCUAAUACCGGAUAAUAUUUUGAACCGCAUGGUUCAAAAGUGAAAGACGGUCUUGCUGUCACUUAUAGAUGGAUCAGUGCUGCAUUAGCUAGUUGGUAAGGUAACGGCUUACCAAGGCAACGAUGCAUAGCCGACCUGAGAGGGUGAUCGGCCACACUGGAACUGAGACACGGUCCAGACUCCUACGGGAGGCAGCAGUAGGGAAUCUUCCGCAAUGGGCGAAAGCCUGACGGAGCAACGCCGCGUGAGUGAUGAAGGUCUUCGGAUCGUAAAACUCUGUUAUUAGGGAAGAACAUAUGUGUAAGUAACUGUGCACAUCUUGACGGUACCUAAUCAGAAAGCCACGGCUAACUACGUG